AUGGUAUGGUUGUUAUCUCUAUUCACAAAGGCGACUCAAAUUCCUCUUGACAAUCUCAGUUUGAAGCACCGCCAGCUCCUUUGGGCAUUAUCCGCUCCGAAUUCAUUCUCACGUCAUGUUCUCUAUCGCGGAUCCAAGACUUCAAAACAGAAUUUGUAG